rnacentral:rRNA from 1 species
AUUGAACGCUGGCGGCAGGCCUAACACAUGCAAGUCGAACGGUAGCACAGAGAGCUUGCUCUCGGGUGACGAGUGGCGGACGGGUGAGUAAUGUCUGGGAAACUGCCCGAUGGAGGGGGAUAACUACUGGAAACGGUGGCUAAUACCGCAUAAUGUCGCAAGACCAAAGAGGGGGACUUUCGGGCCUCUUGCCAUCGGAUGUGCCCAGAUGGGAUUAGCUAGUUGGUGAGGUAAUGGCUCACCAAGGCGACGAUCCCUAGCUGGUCUGAGAGGAUGACCAGCCACACUGGAACUGAGACACGGUCCAGACUCCUACGGGAGGCAGCAGUGGGGAAUAUUGCACAAUGGGCGCAAGCCUGAUGCAGCCAUGCCGCGUGUAUGAAGAAGGCCUUCGGGUUGUAAAGUACUUUCAGCGGGGAGGAAGGCAAUGCGGUUAAUAACCGUGUUGAUUGACGUUACCCGCAGAAGAAGCACCGGCUAACUCCGUG